GGACGUACGCUGGCGGCGUGCUUAACACAUGCAAGUCGAACGGAAAGGCCCUGCUUUUGUGGGGUGCUCGAGUGGCGAACGGGUGAGUAACACGUGAGUAACCUGCCCUUGACUUUGGGAUAACUUCAGGAAACUGGGGCUAAUACCGGAUAGGAGCUCCUGCUGCAUGGUGGGGGUUGGAAAGUUUCGGCGGUUGGGGAUGGACUCGCGGCUUAUCAGCUUGUUGGUGGGGUAGUGGCUUACCAAGGCUUUGACGGGUAGCCGGCCUGAGAGGGUGACCGGCCACAUUGGGACUGAGAUACGGCCCAGACUCCUACGGGAGGCAGCAGUGGGGAAUAUUGCACAAUGGGCGGAAGCCUGAUGCAGCAACGCCGCGUGCGGGAUGACGGCCUUCGGGUUGUAAACCGCUUUCGCCUGUGACGAAGCGUGAGUGACGGUAAUGGGUAAAGAAGCACCGGCUAACUACGUG
rnacentral:rRNA from 1 species